AUUGAACGCUGGCGGCAUGCCUAACACAUGCAAGUCGAACGAGUGGCGGACGGGUGAGUAAUUUCUGGGAAACUGCCUGAUGGAGGGGGAUAACUACUGGAAACGGUAGCUAAUACCGCAUACCAUCAGAUGUUCCCAGCUGGGAUUAGCUGGUAGGUGGGGUAACGGCUCACCUAGGCGACGAUCCCUAGCUGGGCUGAGAGGAUGACCAGCCACACGGGAACUGAGACACGGUCCAGACUCCUACGGGAGGCAGCAGUGGGGAAUAUUGCACAAUGGGCGAAAGCCUGAUGCAGCCAUGCCGCGUGUGUGAAGAAGGCCUUCGGGUUGUAAAGCACUUUCAGCGGGGAGGCGUUACCCGCAGAAGAAGCACCGGCUAACUCCGUGCCAGCAGCCGCGGUAAUAC
rnacentral:rRNA from 1 species